AUAUCACAUUGAAACACCAAUUCCUUUAUGAUCACCAAAGUUAAGCAAUGUUGAGACUGGUUAGUACCUAGGUGAGUGACCACUUGGGAAUACCAGGUUCUGUAGG